GAUGAAGAACGCAGCAAAAUGCGAUAAGUAAUGUGAAUUGCAGAAUUCAGUGAAUCAUCGAAUCUUUGAACGCACAUUGCGCCCGCCAGUAUUCUGGCGGGCAUGCCUGUUCGAGCGUCAUUUCAACCCUCAAGCUCAGCUUGGUGUUGGGACUCGCGGUAACCCGCGUUCCCCAAAUCGAUUGGCGGUCACGUCGAGCUUCCAUAGCGUAGUAAUCAUACACCUCGUUACUGGUAAUCGUCGCGGCCACGCCGUAAAACCCCAACUUCUGAAUGUUGACCUCGGAUCAGGUAGGAAUACCCGCUGAACUUAAGCAUAUCAAUAAGCGGCGGA
rnacentral:misc_RNA from 1 species